GCAAAGUUUGAUUAACCUAAAAACCAUAAAAAGUAAACAAUUUUUAACACUGACUUGUAGAUAAAUUUAUGUGUCAAAACUGUUGCGAUAAAAAACAUCAAAUCAAAAUCAAAUAAAACAAACUUUGCGGCCAGCCAGAGGAAAAAUCGAAUAAAAUCAAGCAUGACCUAUUACUGUCACGUCCGGUGCGAGCCAGGUAUUUUAGCGUCAAUUUGUGCCGCCCCCUCGUCCAUCAAGUUCGAGCCCGAGUUUGGGAUUGAGAUUUGAUUGGGUUAUUGAGUGGUAAACAGUUUCCUACUGGAUCGAUGGAUGGGCUCGAAGGAAAAUCAAUGCGCAUUACUGCAGCCUCGUUGGGCCCCAAAACCAGCGAACAACCCGGCAACUCGGCAGUAACGAAAAUAAAUUCAAUUUUUAAAUACAA